CCUACGGGUGGCUGCAGUGGGGAAUAUUGGACAAUGGGCGAAAGCCUGAUCCAGCCAUGCCGCGUGUGUGAAGAAGGCCUUCGGGUUGUAAAGCACUUUCAGUGGGGAAGAAAGCCUUGGGGCUAAUACCCUCGAGGAAGGACAUCACCCACAGAAGAAGCACCGGCUAACUCCGUGCCAGCAGCCGCGGUAAUACGGAGGGUGCGAGCGUUAAUCGGAAUUACUGGGCGUAAAGCGCGCGUAGGCGGUCUGAUAAGCCGGUUGUGAAAGCCCCGGGCUCAACCUGGGAACGGCAUCCGGAACUGUCAGGCUAGAGUGCAGGAGAGGAAGGUAGAAUUCCCGGUGUAGCGGUGAAAUGCGUAGAGAUCGGGAGGAAUACCAGUGGCGAAGGCGGCCUUCUGGACUGACACUGACGCUGAGGUGCGAAAGCGUGGGUAGCAAACAGGAUUAGCUACCCCGGUAGUC
rnacentral:rRNA from 1 species